rnacentral:rRNA from 1 species
UACGUAGGGUCCGAGCGUUGUCCGGAAUUACUGGGCGUAAAGAGCUCGUAGGUGGUUUGUCGCGUUGUUCGUGAAAACUCACAGCUUAACUGUGGACGUGCGGUGGAUACGGGCAGGCUUGAGUUCGAGUAGGGGAGACUGGAAUUCCUGGUGUAGCGGUGAAAUGCGCAGAUAUCAGGAGAAACACCGGUGGCGAAGGCGGGUCUCUGGGCCGGAUGACUGACGCUGAGGAGCGAAAGCGUGGGGAGCGAACAGG